CUCCUUUUAUAAAAGAAAAUGUGUGUGUGUGUGUGUGUGUGUGUAUGUACAUGCUAGGAGCUCCCAGGCAUGGGCCAUGUGCAGUGAGCAGCUAAAUCAAAUGGGAAUUAGCCCUGUCUGCCCUGUCUGUCCUCCCCAGGUAGGAUAACAGCACAUACCAGAGCUGAGUCAGGAGCAUUCUCUGAAAGCUGCUGCCAAGCCCCUGCAUCCCUGGACUGAGCGAGCAGGUUGGCACUGCCAUCUGGAACCUCUCUUCUACCUAGACAGCAAGCACAGAAGUGGAACUUUUGGGGAUUCAGUGGAGCUCAACCUCAUAAGCACAGCUCCUAUAAGAUCAGGGAGUCAUGGACGGGUUGCCAUGGACCAUGCCUUUCUACCCAAGCACAAAGAACUUGAUGGGGGUUCUGAGAAUGGAGAAAAGAAGGCUAGCUCCAAGAGCUGCAAGAGUUUUCCAGCAGCAGAAGAAACCAAAUGUGCCCAAGACUACCAGCUCUCCACCAAAGCUCAUUCCACACUCCUCCAAGAGUAUGGACUGGGUUACAAUUCCAAGUACAGAGAGAGAAGGUUGUCAUGUGACCAAAACCCAGCCAAAUGAAUGUGAGAAAAAAAUUGUAGGUAUCCUUUCAUUGCUCAGCGCGCCUCUUUGAACAUCUUCCUCCAAUCAGUGGCUGUCACUAAGAUGUACAUUCAAAUGAUGACAAUGACCUAUUUUUGAUGACUUUUUGGAGCACAGCUCAACUAUCCCUCCUGGACUGAUGUGUGGAAGAGAAAUAAACUUGUUUCAGUCUUUGCAUUUCUGAAUGCUAACAUUACUUUAUUAAGGUAUCAUUUAUAUAUAGCAAAGUAUAUACACCUUAAGUGUACAGUUUGGUGAAUUCGUGAAAAAGAUUACAUGAGCCAUCAGCCCACACUAUAUAUAAUAUUUCCAUCUUCCCUGGAAAUUUUCUCAUUGCUCUGUCUAGGCAGCCUCAUCCCUCAUCCCUACCUCUGCCCCUACCACCAGGCAAACACUGUUUUGAUUUUUAUCAACAUGAAUUAGUUUUGCCUAUUCCUAAAUCUCCUGUAAUGGAAAUAUAUAUGAGCUCACUAUGAACUCUGUUGUAUCUGACUUUUUUCAUUCAGUGUAAUGAUUUUGAGAUUCGCUCAUAUUGUUGAAUAUUAUCAGGAGUUUGUUCUUUUUUACUGCCUGGUAGAAUUCUACACUAUCUGUUCUUUUAUUGACAGACAUUUGAAUUGUUUCUACUUUUUGUCUAUCAGGAAUAAAGUAGCUACAAACACUC
rnacentral:lncRNA from 1 species